CCAUUUCUGUAAUAAUUUGAAAUUUAGAAUUUAGAAUUUUAUUUAUAAAAUUUUUGAAGAAACCAAAAUUCCAAUUGACUUACUACGUUGACAAUUGAAAACAUCUUUGCUGCAAACACCAAGCCAUUUUCACUCUCUCUAGAAACACCUCACUUCCAUCCUCUGCCUUUUCUCUAAUCUUAAGCUUUCUUGAUCCAGAGAACUUGCAAAUUGAAGGUGCCCUAGUGAUUGCAACGCAGAGAACUUCAUUUCCUAUCGAUCAAAUUCUUCAAAUUGACCGGCUCCCAUAGAAUUUCGGUGGGUGGCAAACUUGAAAUUGGGUUAAGUUCUGUUAAAAACCCAGAGGUUUCAGAGGCCCCUUUGGAGCAAAUACUAGAUGGCCCAGUU